GCGUUGGUGGUACAGUGGUUAGCAUAGCUGCCUUCCAAGCAGUUCACCCUGGUUCGAUUCCCGUCCAACAAA
rnacentral:tRNA from 1 species